UUAAUCGCUAUAUUUUUUCAGCUUCUUUUUGGGAGUGAGGACUUUUGGCUUGAAAUAGUGACCAGGCUCCAGUCUCUUAUCUUGCUUGGUGCAUUUAUGGUUCCCUUUACUAGCAGGAGCUGAGCUCCUGGCUGCUACUGCUUAGUUUUGGAUAAGAGCCCAGCAAUUGAUUCAGACCCAUUCAGCGUUCCAUUUGUGCUCCACAGAAAUGCUCCUCUUGCUUUGGGGAUCCGGCUCUGUCACCCAGGCUGGAGUGCAGUGGCUGAUCUUGGCUCACUGUAAUCUCUACCUCCCGAGUUCAAGUGAUUCUCAUGUCUCAGCCUCCUGGGUAGCUGGGACUACAGACAGAGUUUCUCCCUUGUUGCCCAGGCUAGAGUGCAAUAGCGUGAUCUUGGCUCACUGCAACAUCUGCCUCCCAGGUUCACGCGAUUCUCCUGCCUCAGUCUCCUGAGUAGCUGGGAUUACAGGCAUGCGCCACCACGCCCAGCUAAUUUUGUAUUUUUAGUAGAGAUGGGGUUUCUCCAUGAUGGUCAGGCUGGUCUUGAACUCCUGACCUCAGAUGAUCCAACCUCCUCGGCCUCCCAAAGUGCUGGGAUUAGAGGCAUGAGCCACCAUGCCUGGCCUUGUGUUUCUGGAUGUAUUGCAUCUCUACUUCCACAAGAAUGCAAAUUUCAUGACGGCAGAACUUCACUUUUCAGCUCUAUUGUGUUCAUCAAUGUGUUACAAGUACCUAGAAAAUAAUGCCUGAGCUCUUUGCUAAUACCACAUGAUGCUGACUGGAACUGAAAGAAGUUAAACUGUACUAAGAAACAAACAGUUUAAAUAGAAUUUUCCCUGUACUCAAAUUUGUCUUUUCAUGUUUCUUAUUUGACAAUAUAAAAGAAAAAAUAAAUGAACAUUAACACAUUU